rnacentral:rRNA from 2 species
GGACCACCCCCCAAGGCUAAAUACUACUUGGUGACCGAUAGCGAACAAGUACCGUGAGGGAAAGGUGAAAAGAACCCCGGGAGGGGAGUGAAAUAGAAACUGAAACCUAAUGUUUACAAGCAGCGAAACUGGCAAAAGCCAGGAUCGUGUACUUUUUGUAGAACGGGCCAGCGAGUUAUGAUAUCUAGCAAGGUUAAAGUAUAAAGUACCGGAGCCGUAGAGAAAUCGAGUCUUAAUAGGGCGAAAGUUAGAUGUCAUAGACCCGAAACCGUGUGAUCUAUCCAUGGGCAGAGUGAAGUUGAAGUAAAAUUCAAUGGAGGCUCGAACCGGGUAGCGUUUAAAAGCUAUCGGA